rnacentral:rRNA from 1 species
UGGCCAGACUCCUACGGGAGGCAGCAGUAGGGAAUCUUUCACAAUGGGCGAAAGCCUGAUGGAGCAACGCCGCGUGCAGGAUGAAGGCCUUCGGGUUGUAAACUGCUUUUAUAAGCGAGAAAUAUGAUGGUAACUUAUGAAUAAGGAUCGGCUAACUCCGUGCCAGCAGCCGCGGUAAUACGGAGGAUGCGAGCGUUAUCCGGAUUUAUUGGGUUUAAAGGGUGCGUAGGCGGAUUUUUAAGUCAGCGGUCAAAUCGUGGGGCUCAACCCCAUCCAGCCGUUGAAACUGGGGAUCUAGAGUGUGCGAGAGGUAUGCGGAAUGCGUGGUGUAGCGGUGAAAUGCAUAGAUAUCACGCAGAACCCCGAUUGCGAAGGCAGCAUACCGGUGCACAACUGACGCUCAGGCACGAAAGCGUGGGUAUCGAACAGGAUUAGAUACCCGCGUAAA